AUUUGAUGAUGAGGGAAACUAACACAUAAUUUCUUGAAUCACUCCCAAUACUCAUAUAAAGUCUUCCCAUUAUACUUUCGAAUACCACAAAUUUUUUUCUUUCUAAU